CCAUGCGAGUCGAGAGGUGCAAGACCUCGGCAUACUGCUCAGUAACACGUGGACAACCUAACCUAUGGAGGGGGAUAACCCCGAGAAACUGGGGAUAAUACCCCAUAGACUAUAAAUGCUGGAAUGCUUUGUAGUUGAAAGGUCCGCCGCCAUAGGAUGGGUCUGCGGCCGAUUAGGUUGUUGUUGGGGUAACGGCCCAACAAGCCUGUAAUCGGUACGGGUUGUGGGAGCAAGAGCCCGGAGAUGGAUUCUGAGACACGAAUCCAGGCCCUACGGGGCGCAGCAGGCGCGAAAACUUUACAAUGCGAGCAAUCGUGAUAAGGAAACCCUGAGUGCCUGUUAUCACAGGCUGUUCUGGUGUCUAACCCACACCAGGAGAAAGGGCGGGGCAAGACCGGUGCCAGCCGCCGCGGUAAUACCGGCUGCUCGAGUGAU
rnacentral:rRNA from 1 species